rnacentral:SRP_RNA from 1 species
CGUCAGGGGCUAUGGACUGCGGACCGACAAACCCCGCCAGGGCAGGAAUGCAGCAACGGUAGUCAGAUCCACUUUGCCGUAGUUCUCUGGCGGUC